CAGCUACAGAGGCCGAUAGAUCUUGGUGAAUGUGUCACCCCAAAGCCUAAUCUUCUUAGGGAACCUGGAUAAAAUAAGUAUCUAUUACAGAAUCAACCUUUAUCCCUGCCCCCUUUUGAGCUCUGCCACUCCAAUAGCCGAAACGGAGACAAUUGCAUCAUUCUGGACUUAAUCAGGUAUUAGUAGCUAAUGCUGCAAGAGAAGCAGCUAAUCUCCAUAUUUACUCCAUCUGUGCUGCUGGACCUGAGUCACUGGGUCUUGGCAGAUCAAAGAGUCCCAGUAAAAAUCAGAUUAGAAGUGAGGGAGAAAGGGGCGGAACUGCAGUGCAGAAGCCAGAACACACUGAACUCCUCAUGAAAAGUCUUGUAUGUGUUUAAGUUCUUAUUGUUUAAUCCUAUGGAAACUUACUGCAUGGAUGUCAGACUUUAAAAGAGGCUGCUGAAGGCUUGCAUUUGUCAUUUUAGAUUCCGUUCUUGUGUACAUUUUCCCUCAAAUUGGUGGGCCAUAAGACAGCAAAACCCAAGAGAAAACAUUUAACCCAUAGGUUGGGCUACAGCUAUUUGUAAAUGUCUCAGAUGGAAAGAGUUAAAGCGCAAGCCAUUUAUGUGGGACUAAGGUAGGGGCCUCAGGAACCAUCGCCAAAGGUAGAGUUUCAAUCUGCGAAUUGCACCACUUCAUGAGAUAGCCGCAUACUUAAUUAAAUGCUCCAAAACAAUCUUAAAUUUUCCAUCACCAAAUGAGCCAAAUAAUUUGACCAAAACAUGCCAAUUCAACAUCUGAUACCUUCCUAAAAAUUUCCCUAACAACUUCCAAAUAUAUAUAUCUCUU